rnacentral:pre_miRNA from 1 species
AUUAAGUUUAUUUUUCAGCAAUACUUUGACUCUUCGUCUUAUUUGAUUUUUUACGAUUAAUAUUUUUAUUGUUAUUAUAUUGUAAAAUAUGAAUAAUACUUUGUGUGUGGCUAAUUUUUUUAAUUUUUUAAAUUUUUUAAAUAAGACGAAUGAUCAAACAUUGGACAUAUAAAUCGAAAAAUAAAGUUAUU